rfam:Acetobacterium wieringae strain DSM 1911 ACWI_contig000010, whole genome shotgun sequence.
UCGUGUAGAAUGAAUUCAAUUAAAUAGUGAACUUGUCCUAUAUUCAAGGGAAAAAGGUGUAAAUCCUUUGCUGUAAUCGCAGCUGUAAAACAUGAUGACCGUCUCAUAGCCACUGUUAAGAAAUUAGCGGGAAGGGAGAUGGAAAGUUGAUUGUUGAGCCAGAAGACCUGUUUGUAGUGAUUUCUUAAC